rnacentral:rRNA from 1 species
AUUGAACGCUGGCGGCAGGCUUAACACAUGCAAGUCGAGCGGGGUGAUGGUGCUUGCACUAUCACUUAGCGGCGGACGGGUGAGUAAUGCUUAGGAAUCUGCCUAUUAGUGGGGGACAACAUCUCGAAAGGGAUGCUAAUACCGCAUACGUCCUACGGGAGAAAGCAGGGGAUCACUUGUGACCUUGCGCUAAUAGAUGAGCCUAAGUCGGAUUAGCUAGUUGGUGGGGUAAAGGCCUACCAAGGCGACGAUCUGUAGCGGGUCUGAGAGGCAGAUCCGCCACGCUGGGACUGAGACACGGCCCAGACUCCUACGGGAGGCAGCAGUAGGGAAUAUUGGACAAUGGGGGGAACCCUGAUCCAGCCAUGCCGCGUGUGUGAAGAAGGCCUUAUGGUUGUAAAGCACUUUAAGCGAGGAGGAGGCUCUUUUGGUUAAUACCCAAGAUGAGUGGACGUUACUCGCAGAAUAAGCACCGGCUAACUCUGUGCCAGCAGCCGCGGUAA